rnacentral:rRNA from 1 species
GAUGAACGCUGGCGGCGUGCCUAAUACAUGCAAGUCGAGCGAACAGAUGAGGAGCUUGCUCCUCUGACGUUAGCGGCGGACGGGUGAGUAACACGUGGAUAACCUACCUAUAAGACUGGGAUAACUUCGGGAAACCGGAGCUAAUACCGGAUAAUAUAUUGAACCGCAUGGUUCAAUAGCGAAAGACGGUUUUGCUGUCACUUAUAGAUGGAUCCGCGCCGCAUUAGCUAGUUGGUAAGGUAACGGCUUACCAAGGCAACGAUGCGUAGCCGACCUGAGAGGGGGAUGGGCCAAACGUGACAGGAGCAACGUACCAGACCCCGAGGGGGGGAAGAAGGGGGGAAUCUCCCGCAGGGGGCGAAAGCGUGAGGGGACAACCCCGGGGGAGGGAAGAAGUUUUGCGGUUCGUAAAACUCUUUUAUUGGGGAAAAAAAAAUUUUAAAGUAACGAUGACCGUUUGGAAGGUACCAAAUCAAAAAGCCACGGCAAAAUACGG